CCUUAUCGUAGGGGAGGCAGCAGUAAGGAAUAUUGGGCAAUGGGCGGAAGCCUGAACCAGCCAUGCCGCGUGCAGGAUGACUGCCCUAUGGGUUGUAAACUGCUUGUGUGCAGGAAUAAACCUUGAUACGUGUAUCGAGUGGAAUACCGCAGA
rnacentral:rRNA from 1 species